UUUUAAGAAUGAGCAAAGAAAUUGGUUUCUUGAGAUGGAACUACUCCUUGUGAAGAUGCUGUGAA
rnacentral:pre_miRNA from 3 species